GACGAACGCUGGCGGCGUGCUUAACACAUGCAAGUCGAACGGAAAGGCCCUGCUUUUGUGGGGUGCUCGAGUGGCGAACGGGUGAGUAACACGUGAGUAACCUGCCCUUGACUUUGGGAUAACUUCAGGAAACUGGGGCUAAUACCGGAUAGGAGCUCCUGCUGCAUGGUGGGGGUUGGAAAGUUUCGGCGGUUGGGGAUGGACUCGCGGCUUAUCAGCUUGUUGGUGGGGUAGUGGCUUACCAAGGCUUUGACGGGUAGCCGGCCUGAGAGGGUGACCGGCCACAUUGGGACUGAGAUACGGCCCAGACUCCUACGGGAGGAAGUAGUGGGGAAUAUUGCACAAUGGGCGGAGGCCGGAUGCAGCAACGCCGCGUGCGGGAUGACGGCCUUCGGGUUGUAAACCGCUUUCGCCUGUGACGAAGCGUGAGUGACGGUAAUGGGUAAAGAAGCACCGGCUAACUACGU
rnacentral:rRNA from 1 species